AUCAUCCACUGCUGGGACAUCAUCCACGCCUGGGGCAUCCACUGCUGGGGCAUCAUCCACUGCUGGGGCAUCCAUGCCGGGGGCAUCACCCACUGCUGGGACAUUAUCCACGCCUGGGGCAUCCACUGCUGGGGCAUUCACUGCUGCAGCAUCAUCCACAGCUGGGGCAUCAUUCACUGCUGCGGCAUCAUCCACAGAUGGGCAUCACCCACUGCUGGGGCAUCAUCCAUGCCUGGGGCAUCAUCCACUGCUGGAACAUCCACAGAUGGGCAUCAUCCAUGCCUGGGGCAUCACCCACUGCUGGGACAUCCAUGCCUGGGGCAUCCACUGCUGGGGCAUCAUCCACACCUGGAGCAUCACUCACUGCUGCAGCAUCAUCCACAGAUGGGCAUCAUCCACUGCUGGGGCAUCAUCCACUGCUGUGGCAUCAUCCGUGCCUGGGGCAUUAUCCACUGCUGGGGCAUCUUCCACACCUGGGGCAUCCACUGCUGGGGCAUCAUCCACACUUGGGGCAUCAACCACGCCUGGGGCAUCAUCCAUUUCUGUGUCAUCAUUCACUCUUGGGACAUCAUCCACUGCUGGGGCAUCACCCACUGCUGGGGCAUCAUCCACGCCUGGGGCAUCCACUGCUGGGGCAUCAUUCACUGCUGUGGCAUCCACAGAUGGGCAUCAUCCACACCUGGAGCAUCAUCCACUGCUGGGACAUCAUCCACGCCUGGGCUAUCCACUGCUGGGACAUCAUCCACGCCUGGGGCAUCAUCCACUGCUGUGGCAUCCACAGAUGGGCAUCAUCCACGCUUGGAGCAUCAUUCACGUCUGGGGCAUUAUCCACUGCUGGGACAUCAUCCACACCUGGGGCAUCCACUGCUGGGGCAUCAUCCAUGCCUGGGGCAUCAUCCACACCUCUGGUAGCUCUGCAGGAAGGUUGCCCAUUUCACCCUUGCUUUCUCCAGGUUCCAGAGGCUCCCACUUAAAGGAGCAUCUCUCCCCACUCUGCCUCACUCAACACCAGCUCUCCUGUACCUACUGCUAAAUGCUUUCUUCCACCUUCACCUCAUUGGAUUCACGACUCUGGAAAAUAGUCAAAAAUUAUAAAAAGGUGG
rnacentral:lncRNA from 13 species